CGGGUGUUCGUUUCGAGUCACA
rnacentral:miRNA from 1 species